CUCUCAUACGGUGGAAAUACUUUCAUGACUUGCAUUAUGUCACACUUCUCAAUGUUCAUGCUUUGUAAUUUUUUCUAGAACCAAUUGCUAAUUGAUGUGGUUUAGUGUAUCUAACGUUGCUUGAAUCUCCAUAGCAUUAGCAAUUUGUUUAGACGAUACAUAAAUGCUUGAUAGGGCUAUGAGACUCUCAUCAUUGGGUUGGGUACGUCAUCGUCGAAUUUUGGUGGUUCCUCCUUCAACAUUAUGCUUAAGAGCGCGAAUUGGGCUUGGAU
rnacentral:lncRNA from 1 species